GGAAAAGUCGUAACAAGGUUUCCGUAGGUGAACCUGCGGAAGGAUCAUUACAGAGUUCAUGCCCUCACGGGUAGAUCUCCCACCCUUGAAUAUUUAUACCUUAGUUGCUUUGGCAGGCCGUGGAAACACCAUGGGCUCCGGCUUAUGCGUGCCUGCCAGAGGAAACAAACUCUGUUUUUAGUGAUGUCUGAGUACUAUAUAAUAGUUAAAACUUUCAACAACGGAUCUCUUGGUUCUG
rnacentral:misc_RNA from 1 species